rnacentral:rRNA from 1 species
GAUUAACGCUGGCGGCGUGCAUAACACAUGCAAGUCGAACGAUGAAACUCAUUAGAUUUCUUCGGAAUGAAAAUGAAUGGCUUAGUGGCGAACGGGUGAGUAACGCGUGAGUAACCUGCCUUACACAAGGGGAUAGCCUCUGGAAACGGAGAAUAAUACCCUAUGAAACCAGACAAUCGCAUGAUAAUCUGGUCAAAAUGUUUAGUGGUGUAAGAUGGACUUGCGUCUGAUUAGCUAGUUGGUGAGAUAAAAGCUCACCAAGGCAACGAUCAGUAGCCGGAUUGAGAGAGUGGACGGCCACAUUGGGACUGAGACACGGCCCAGACUCCGACGGGAGGCAGCAGUGGGGAAUUUUGCACAAUGGGGGAAACACUGAUGCAGCGACGCCGCGUGAUUUAGAAGGCCGUCGGGUUGUAAAAAUCUUUUGUAUAGGAAGAAAAUGACAGUACUAUACGAAUAAGGUCCGGCUAAUUACGUG